rnacentral:rRNA from 1 species
GAUUUCUGGUUCGGCGCAAUAGGCCCGCCUCGGUUCACGAGGUUGCGUGCCGUUUGCGCCAUCCAUCCUUCGAGAAAAUACUUCUGCCCUUCACUGGGUUGGAUGUACUAUCUCGAUCUUUUACUUUGAAAAAAUUAGAGUGUUUAAAGCAGGCGUGAGCUAUGAAUACAUUAGCAUGGAAUAAUGAUUUAGGACUUGAGUCUUAUUUUGUUGGUUUCCAGGACUUUAGUAAUGAUUGACAGGGAUAGUUGGGGGUGCUAGUAUUCAGCGGCCAGAGGUGAAAUUCUUGGAUUCGCUGAAGACUAACUUAUGCGAAAGCAUU